UUACUAUGGAGUGAUCUUUGAUCCUAGGUUUAAGUUUAACUAUAUUGAGUGGUCUUUUAAUGAUAUGUAUGGGCAUUCUAGUGACCUUGCCAAGAAAAAUAUUGAAUGUGUCAAAACUAGUUUGUUUAAACUAUAUAAUUGGCAUAAAUCUGAUCAUGAUAAGAAUGUUGGGGCUAGUCCUUUAAGUGCACCAGGGAGCACUUCCCUUGGAGAAGCAUCUUCCCAACCAAAAGAACCAUCACCUUUUACAAGGGCUAAUGCUUUUAAGAAACAUCUGAAGGAAAAAGACACAAUUGAAAAUGAAAAUGAACUAGAGAAGUACUUAGGUGACCCUUGUUGCGGGGAGGGGGAAAAUUUUAGUAUUCUUAAUUGGUGGAAGGAAAAUUGCACCCGUUAUCCUAUAUUAGCAACCUUGGUUCGGGAUGUGUUGGCAACACCUGUUUCUAGUGUAGCCUCAGAAAGUGCUUUUAGCACGGGGGGGAGGAUUUUAGAUAUCUAUAGGAGCUCUUUGAGUCCAGAUAUGGUCGAAGCGCUUAUAUGUACUCAAAACUGGUUGAAGCCUUCUGACAAUGAUCUAAAUGUCCUUAAUAUGACUGAAGAAUAUGAGAUUAGUGAAUCAAUUGUUUCAGAGUUUCAAGUAGCUACUGGUGGAGCAGCUGCUCCUACACAGGCUGGGCCUGUUUAAUUCUCGCCUAGCUGUGAAUUUUUGAAUAUUUUGGAGUCACUUUGUGAUUCAAUAAGACAAGCCUUUCUUUUUUGGAGUCAUUUUUUGAAACUAAGGAUGGAACCGUUUCAGUAGCUACUGCGUUUGCUGGUCAUCAGGAAGAUUGUUGUUAUUUCAUAUUGCUGUUGUUAUGAGAAUCAUGACUCAGAAACUUUUUGGGCAGACUUUUUGGGCAGCCACUGCUGCUAGUUUCAUAACAAUUCAGUGUUCGAAAUGUUACAUUUUUUUGACUUGGGGAUUAACAAAUCUAUAUUCAUUAAGCCCAAGACAUUUCACCUUACAGUACUAAUGCUUAAGCUGUGGAAUAAAGACAGAGUGGGGCAUAUCAAGAGGAGACUGAAUAGCUCAAGCUUCUUGCUGAAUGGAAGAGAAAGAAAGGUGGAUUCAGAGCUACCAUGUUUGUUUUUGGAAACUUGGUGGCGGCUCAAGUUGCGACAGAAAUCGGUUGGAGCGAGUUUGCGAUUUCAAUGUUUUCACUAGGAAUGGUACAUUAUUUGCAGGCCAGGACUGUUCAAGAAAACUAUAAAAAGAAAGCUGCAAUAAAGAAGAUGGACAUGAAAGCAUCAAAAGAAUUUUUUGCCGAGCUUAAGGUGUUAACGCGUGUUCAUCACUUGAACUUGGUAAGGUUGAUUGGAUAUUGCAUUGAAGGUUGAUUGGAUAUUGCAUUGCCGGAAUGGACUUGUCUCUUACAAUAUUGAAAAAUGCACACACUGCUAGAGAACUAAAAUGCACGCCAAAAUUGGACUUUGAAUUAGUAACUCCUG